CACCACACUCUUCCGCUUCAGCUGUCUUUUUUGCCUCAUGGCUAUACCCACACUGACCACUCCUUCAAUGAAGACAGUAAUGAGAUCAUCUGCACACUCCACAGAGCUCCAGAGUUACUGUUCAUAGCAAAAGUGUAAUGCUGUCCUUGGAGAUUUUCACCUAAGACUGUGAGUGUGAGUGUGUAAUGGAUUUCAAAGUGUUUAAGUGUUCAGAGCACUCUACAGCCUGGUAAGGUGGCAAGUUUGAAAAGAGCAGCAGAAGGUAUCAGUACUGUAGUGUAACUUGUUCUUUUCCUUUCCUAACAGUGAACAGAGUGCCGAUUAUUAUCGACAGCUACGUCCACCCGGGGUGAAAGUAGUGUGGGAGACCAUCAGGACCCAGCUGGGUUUCCUUGGUCCAGAGGUUUGGAGAAACCUCUUCCUUUUCUUUCAUCACAGCUGUCCUGUGCCAGAUGUUCUGUUGACCCACUGAGAGAGGCGUGUUUGAGAAAGAUCAGGAAGACUGAAGCUCAUGGUAGGAAUGAAGGAGGACCUUGUGAGCUCCACCAGCAGCUCCCUCACAAGGAACUGUUCACAAGUCCACUGCAGGCACGCCCCAGAAGAUGGAUAAAGGCAGCGUUUCAUGAAGACACUGGAACCAAUCUAUCUUCAUAACAGCAGGAUAAAGACAUGGUGAUAAAUGAGUGUGUGGGCCGUCUGCUGAGGACCAGGAGCUCAGGACACUCAGACGGGGGCGUCGCAGCAGGAGUCACGCGCACCACAAUCCUCUGCUGUUCUGAGAUGUCACACUCCUGCCUGCACAUAGAAACCACAGUGAAGUCAAAGUUCCACCUGCACCUCCACCUGUUCUUGCAACAGCAUGAACACUGACAGAGGAGGAAGGUGGAGGCGCAGCUCCAGCAGAGCAACAC